CUGUCAGAGCACGGUACAUCCGCAUUCGACCCACAGCUUGGCGUGGCCAUAUAUCUAUGAGAGUGGAGCUGUUUGGUUGCAAAGAUCCGGAGAGGUGUCAAAACAGCCCUUGU